CGCUCAAAGUGUCAGAGACGUGCCGGCGCGCGAGACAACUUUUUUUUAUGCCCCUCUUCUUCUCUCUCUCUCUCCGCCAUCAUCACCUCUCUGUCAUCUCGUCCGGUUUUAUUAGGACCAAACGGACUUUCGGGGCCUCGGGACGUCGGCGUGGAGUCCACAGCGAGUGGUCGGAGAGGCCGAGAAUGCAAGACGAUAUAAUGUGCUGUGCCUGAAGUUUUUUUCUGACGAGAUCUGUUUGUGGCACCAUUUCGGGCGGUUAGAGCUGUAAUGAAGCCAGCUGCAGCGGGACAUGGUAUCAGUGUGGCAUCAUCUCGCUGCCAGCAGAAUACAAACACGCGGUUGGGACUGACAGGAGUGUGAGGCAUCAUUUUGAUCUGCCAUGAAACUGGAGUAUCAGAUGUGGAGCCGAAGAGAGCACAGUGGCUGUUGUCAGUUGGAUUAAGGCCAGAUCCUGGAGUGCUCCAAGACAGAAAAGCAGUUCCUUGGUUGUGUGUCUGUGUAAUGUUUAAUGUGACCUGACAUGGCGAGAAUGUGCAUUUAACUAGCAGACAGGCCUUUUUAACAUAACCAUAGAACAUAGCUGGUUUUAGGGUUUUCCAUUAAGAUUUCAUUGCAUGCCUUUUAGAUGGAAAAAUAGUUUUUCUAUAAUAGUAGAAAUGAACUGAGACUGAAUAAUUAAACUUGCACGCUUUUUUAACAUGGCUACUAGUUUAUUAGUAUGGAUGAUGUUCCUGUGACCUGACAUCAACUCUGUUGUCUCCUUGGAGGUCAAGGUCGUACCGCUUCACCAUCAGGUCCACGUUUGCCUCGGCGAACAUUCAACGCUGUCGGUGAGUUUGAGCUAAACUGACAAAACCAUCGACCGUUGAUUGUACCCCAUGGCCAAACUCUGUCAACACUCCUGAACACGGGCUCAAAUAUCGAGAGACUGUCCUGGGACGUCGCCUUCCUCCUCUAAACCGCUUUUGAGUACUUGGGGCUCGGGGGGGGAAAAAAAAAACCUCUAUCAAAGGUCACAAUCAACAUUCAUUGCUGUCGGUGGGUUGCACUGUGAAGGAAAGCUCACUGAACAAUGAAUGCAACUGUGUCCCAGUCUUUCUCGUCCCACGUUAUCAAACUGAGAUGAUGAAAUCUUUUGCUAACUCGCGCUUAGUAUUGCUUGUAUCUCCACAUUAUGAAGAAUUGGACUGUAUCGCAAAGAAUAUCCGCAGGUACAGAACACUACUUGCAUUAAUGGGGAACAUGUGAGUAAAGAAUAUUUGUCACUGCUUCCUUGUGUUUUAUUGCUUUAAUAAUUCACUACCAUACCACAGCCGGGUGUGUAGUUUAUAUCCGAGCAAAGCAAAGGUUUAUUCUCGCCAUUUUCCUGACUUUUUAUCAACCACACACACCUUAGAACCUUCAUGAAAUUUGUUUCCAUCUAAGCAUUUGAAGCAAAUUGUUUAAUAUAUUUCACUGACCUUUUAUUUUUAACUUUUCUAAAAUUGAAAGCACGGAGGCACGAAUGUUUAAAGUGUUAGAUUAUGGCCCAAAGGAGUGUUUUGUUGGAAUUAUGCCCCAGGUUCUGUCUGCUUAAACAUUUUUUUUUUUUUAGCUGGAGGCUAACCUGAAUGAGCAGAGGAGGCUUAGUGACCUCAAUAUUUAUCUGCUACAGUUUACACGAGCCUGAGAAAAUGUACUGGCCCUUUCUAGGCUAAACCGAGAUUACGUCUCGUUGCUGUUCGUUCACGAAACAUUAAUCCAAAUUAUAUUGGUAAAGUAGCUGAACUGCUUUAUCGUAUCAGUGUCUGGGUGAGAGUGCAGAGGAACCUCUGUAUUUUUUUUUUUGGGGGGGGGGGCGACUGUCAAUCAGUCAUCUGGAUUAAUUAACAUUAGAUUAGAGUUCAAUCCAAAUGCCAUAAUGGCUGCCAUCUUUAAUCUCUGUAGCUCUCCAUGUGGUUUUUGUCAUCUUGAGAUGCUUAGAAGAAACAAUACGGCUAUGUCAACGCAUAAAAGAGGAAACUGUUAUGUUCAUGCCAUUAAAAAGUAACAGAGUUGUAUUACAAGGGAAAAAAGAAUAUAAUAUGCAAAUUCAUUCAGCGUCAGUAAGCACUUUAUUCUAAUCAUGGUUGUAUUGGCUCUGCAGCCUAUCCCAGGAACAAUAGACAUGAGGCAGGAAUACACACUGGAUGGGACGCACGAGUCCAUUGCAUGCAUGCAUGCAUGCAUACAUACAUGCAUACAUGCAUGCAUGCAUGCAUGCAUACAUACAUGCAUACAUGCAUACAUACAUGUAUGCAUACACGAUCACGUGGAAUAAGGUGAUGGAGCUCCAAUAGUGAUUGAGAAGGAUGUUAUAGCUUCAAUAUGUCACACCAUGUAUAAAAAUAUACAGAAAUGUAUGAAACAGGCUGUGGAGCUGCUCUGUCCCUUUUCUAAUUUGAUUUUGGGAUCUCCACUCAAAACAGUAAAAAUAUAAAUAUAUAUAUAUAUGUGUGUAUGUGUGUGUGUGUGUGUGUAUAUGUGUGUGAAUAAUUAUGAUAGCAGAUUGUAUAGUUUAUAUCACAUACCAUCACACACGAUCAAAACAUCUGUGAAAAUAUCCUUGCAAAUAAUGUCAGCUUGCUUUUUUUUCUCUGCUAUUCAUCUCUAAGACAGAGCGAGAUCAAUCAUUGAUGAGUUGACCUGCAGUAACAUUAACCUACACUAACUACAGCAGUGUCAAAGAUCAGGAGUUUCAGUUAAUCACCAAUAUCAGAAUGUAGAAAAAGUGUGGACUCUUUGUCUUUAACCGUGGCAUCGUUGUUGGUGUUGAUGGGCUGGUUUGAGUAUUUCAGAAACUGGUAAUCUCUUGGGAAUUUCACACACACAACAGUCAAUAAGAGUUUACACAGAAUAGUGCGAAAAACCAAGAACAGUGGGUGACAGUUCUGUGGGUGGAAACACCUUGUUGGUUAGAGAGGUCAGAGGAAAAUGUCCAGAUUGCUUCAAGAUGACUUGAAUUCUAUAGCAACUCAAAUAAUCACGCUUUGCAACUGUAGUGAGCAGAAAAGCAUUUCGGCAUGCACAAAACAUCAAGCCUUGCAGUGGAUGGGCUACAACUGCAGAAGACCACACCAGGCUCCACUCCUGUCAAUCAAGAACAGGAAUCUGAGGCCAUCAUGGGCACAGGCUCACCCAAACUGGACAGUUGAAGAUUAGAAACUGAUUGAAUGACUGCAUAAAUGAGCAGGUGUACAGGUGUUCCUUUUAAGGUGACCGGUGAGUGUACAUAGGU